GAUGAAGAACGCAGCGAAAUGCGAUACGUAGUGUGAAUUGCAGAAUUGAGUGAAUCAUCGAAUCUUUGAACGCACAUUGCACCUCUCGGUAUUCCGGGAGGUAUGCCUGUUCGAGCGUCAUUUGUACCCUCAAGCUCUGCUUGGUGUUGGGUGUUUGUUCCGCCUCUGUGUGUGAACUCGCCUCAAAACAAUUGGCAGCCGGCGUACUUGUUUCGGAGCGCAGCACAUUUUGCGAUCCAGAUCAACGUACAGCGGCAUCCAAGAAGCCUUAUUUAACGCUCUUGACCUCGGAUCAGGUAGGGAUACCCGCUGAACUUAAGCAUAUCAAUAAGCGGAGGA
rnacentral:misc_RNA from 1 species